AGCGAACGCUGGCGGCAGGCCUAACACAUGCAAGUCGAACGAACCUUUCGGGGUUAGUGGCGGACGGGUGAGUAACACGUGGGAACGUGCCUUUAGGUUCGGAAUAACUCAGGGAAACUUGUGCUAAUACCGAAUGUGCUCUUCGGGGGAAAGAUUUAUCGCCUUUAGAGCGGCCCGCGUCUGAUUAGCUAGUUGGUUGAGGUAAUGGCUCACCAAGGCGACGAUCAGUAGCUGGUCUGAGAGGACGAGCAGCCACAUUGGGACUGAGACACGGCCCAAACUCCUACGGGAAGGAGCAGUGGGGAAUCUUGCGCAAUGGGGGAAAGCCUGACGCAGCCAUGCCGGGUGAAUGAUGAAGGUCUUAGGAUUGUAAAAUUCUUUCACCGGGGACGAUAAUGACGGUACCCGGAGAAGAAGCCCCGGCUAACUUCGUG
rnacentral:rRNA from 1 species